rnacentral:rRNA from 1 species
CCUACGGGAGGCAGCAGUGAGGAAUAUUGGACAAUGGGCGCAAGCCUGAUCCAGCCAUGCCGCGUGCAGGAAGACGGUCCUAUGGAUUGUAAACUGCUUUUGUACGGGAAGAAACACUCCUUCGUGAAGGAGCUUGACGGUACCGUAAGAAUAAGGAUCGGCUAACUCCGUGCCAGCAGCCGCGGUAAUACGGAGGAUCCAAGCGUUAUCCGGAAUCAUUGGGUUUAAAGGGUCCGUAGGCGGUUUAGUAAGUCAGUGGUGAAAGCCCAUCGCUCAACGGUGGAACGGCCAUUGAUACUGCUAGACUUGAAUUAUUAGGAAGUAACUAGAAUAUGUAGUGUAGCGGUGAAAUGCUUAGAGAUUACAUGGAAUACCAAUUGCGAAGGCAGGUUACUACUAAUGGAUUGACGCUGAUGGACGAAAGCGUGGGUAGCGAACAGGAUUAGAUACCCUGGUAGUCCACGCCGUAAACGAUGGAUACUAGCUGUUGGGGGCAACUUCAGUGGCUAAGCGAAAGUGAUAAGUAUCCACCUGGGGAGUACGUUCGCAAGAAUGAAACUCAAAGAGUAGUACGGCGUGAGAGUGCGACGACGACACGAGGAGGUUAGG